GAUGAAGAACGUAGCGAAAUGCGAUACUUGGUGUGAAUUGCAGAAUCCCGUGAACCAUCGAGUCUUUGAACGCAAGUUGCGCCCCAAGCCGCCAGGCCGAGGGCACGCCUGCCUGGGCGUCACGCAACGUCGCCCCCAACACCCUGUGUUCUGGGCGGAUACUGGCCU
rnacentral:rRNA from 1 species